rnacentral:rRNA from 1 species
AUUGAACGCUGGCGGCAGGCCUAACACAUGCAAGUCGAGCGGAUGAAGGGUGCUUGCUCCUGGUUUCCGCGGCGGACGGGUGUGUAAUGCCUAGGAAUCUGCUUGGCUGUGGGGGGUAAUGACUGGAAACGGGCGCUGAUACUACCUACGACGUGCUGCUGCAGGAGGGGGGUGUUUGGAACUUCUGGUCUCUGGUGAAUCUAGGUGGGAGUUGCCAGUUGGUGGGGUGAAGGCCUACCUAGGCGAGCUUUCAUAAGUGGUCUGUGUGGAUGAUCAGUCACACUGGAACUGGGACACGGUCCAUACUCCUGCGGGAGGCAGCAGUGGGGAAUGUUGGACAAUGGGCGAAAGCCUUGUCCAGCGAUGCCGCGUGUGUUAAGAAGGUCUUCGGAGCGUAAAGCACGUUAAGUGGGGAGGAAGCGCAGUAAGUUAAUACCUUGCUUGUGUGACGGUACCGACAAAAGAAGCACCGGCUAACUACGUG